rnacentral:lncRNA from 1 species
UGAAUAAUGAAUGUUUGCAAGGUUUUAUGUUUAGAAUGAAUUAUGUAAAAACAUAAUUUCAUACCGCAUUUUCCUUGAUUUCUGAUAGGAGUCACAGCACCUUGAGUCCUCCAGUCCACAGCGUCCGGGACAUUGCCUGCUGGGUCACAAACUGGUCUCUGCUUCUUGUGUAACCUCAAGGAAGACGUGUUCAACCCGAGAAAAUGGGCCUUAAACUCAGAAUUGGUCAUAUCUGCAAAUCUAUUAUCCGUUAGCUUAAAGGGCAAGUGGAGGGAGUUGAUGUAGUCAAUCAACUGGACGUUAGACUGAUAUAUCCCAAACCGUAGCAUCCACUCAUCCCUUCCUCCAUAUAAUUUGCUGUGGGUUUUAAGCCACUUCUCGAACCGCUGCUUCAGGGUUUUGUGUGGGUCAUACACAGAGGAAUCGACGGAACAUAGCUUUGAAGCUAUCAAGACAAAGCAAAUCAAAACGGCAAGGGUCAGGUUAGAAUUUCGAAGUACAUUCAGCAUUUUUG